rnacentral:rRNA from 1 species
UGCCAGCCGCCGCGGUAAUACGGAGGGUGCGAGCGUUAAUCGGAAUUACUGGGCGUAAAGCGCAUGCAGGCGGCCUGUUAAGUCAGAUGUGAAAGCCCGGGGCUUAACCUCGGAAUUGCAUUUGAAACUGGCAGGCUAGAGUCUUGUAGAGGGGGGUAGAAUUUCAGGUGUAGCGGUGAAAUGCGUAGAGAUCUGAAGGAAUACCAGUGGCGAAGGCGGCCCCCUGGACAAAGACUGACGCUCAGAUGCGAAAGCGUGGGGAGCAAACAGGAUUAGAUA